GUAAGGAAUAUUGGUCAAUGGACGAAGGUCUGAACCAGCCAUGCCGCGUGAAGGAUGAAGGCCCUCUGGGUUGUAAACUUCUUUUAUCUGGGACGAAAAAAGGGUAUUCUUACUCACUUGACGGUACCAGAGGAAUAAGCACCGGCUAACUCCGUGCCAGCAGCCGCGGUAAUACGGAGGGUGCAAGCGUUAUCCGGAUUCACUGGGUUUAAAGGGUGCGUAGGUGGGUAUUUAAGUCAGUGGUGAAAUCUCCGAGCUUAACUCGGAAACUGCCAUUGAUACUAUUUACCUUGAAUGCACUGGAGGUAAGCGGAAUAUGUCAUGUAGCGGUGAAAUGCUUAGAUAUGACAUAGAACACCAAUUGCGAAGGCAGCUUACUACGGGGUGAUUGACACUGAGGCACGAAAGCGUGGGGAGCAAACAGGAUUAGAAACCCUUGUAGUCC
rnacentral:rRNA from 1 species